CAGUAUUUUGGCCCCUCUAUUCAUGUGGGUAUCGAACAUGCCAAAACAGGCUGUAUGUUCUUCAUAUCACUUAUUAUCACCAUUUUCUUGUUGUUGUUUUACAAAGAUUUUUCUUUCCAUUUGGUGUUUCUCAUCUCAAAAUGGAUUCAAACCAGAUCAAUUUUUAUAUAUAGGUAAACCGCUUUGUCUUCAUUCUGUCUUUGUUUCUUUGAGGUGUCAAAAUCUUAUCAAAUGCAUACUAUGUGGUGCUAAAUUAAAAUUAUAAGCUAUCGCAACAGUAUACAAUAUUUAGCAUGUUUAUUACAUUACUUGUACAAUAUUACGGGGUGCUUUUAGCUUCCUUUUGUAUGUAAAUGGUCCCUUUGGUAUUUUCAGAAGUUUUGAGUUUUAUUUGCGUGCUUACAUCUUUAGUUUUUGAUUUCUUUUGUACAUUUUCGUCCUCCUCUCUGCAAUAAUUUUCUGGAGGCCAAGGUCUGCUUUCCUCCCCCAUUUCAUCGUCUAACCAGGAUUAUGAUUCAGCUCAGUGUUUUGUUCUUCAGUCAAACCGAACUGGUAAAUGCAUGCUUGUCUGGAAAGUCACAUACUCAAGUAUUGUAUCAAUUGGCACUCACCUCAGGACUUGUGAGCUCUCUGAUUGGCGAUUUAUGAAAUCCUCUAAAGAUCAAUAUUACCUGGAGUAUGUUGUUCUUUGAGUUGUCUCACACCAGUUACUCCCUCCGACCUCUACGGCCUGCUGCCACGCCACCGUCUGUAGAUCCUGCACAAAGUCCAUGGCGUCCUAUCUCUACGGCACGGGCUGCCGCCACACCACCAUCUGCAGCUCCUGCGGUAAGGCCAUGGCGCACGCCCUGCUCCGCCUCGGUCACCAAUUCCUUUUGACGCCUCCUAAUCGACGGUGGAGGCGCCGACGACGAAGCAAGCAGCCGGCCGCCGCAGCCACGGUCGCGAUGCUAUCCCUCAUCCAGGUACUGUGCUACUAGAUACCUAUACUGUCACAAGUUGAGUUUAUUUUUGGAUAAAGAUGUGGUUCCAGAUUAACCAACCAUCUAUAUAGUUGUUGAAUGCAAGAAACCUUCCCUAAGUAAGGUUUGAGACAGUAUUUCCUUCAUAAGCAAGUGCUUCGACUACCAAUGGAUACAUCAAUUUGUUUUUAUCUUGUAGUUUUGCACUGAUGCUAAUAAUAGCUUGCUAGCAAAGAUGUCAUGAAUUGCAAAGAGUGAAAUUCCAGAUGACUGAGUAGAUAGAUAAGCACAAUGCUCUAUAAACACCAAGAUCCUCCUACUCCAUCUUGACUUGGGCUUCCUUGGGCAUGGUAUAAGUAGAGAGCCACCAAUUCAGACUAAUGAUAGGACACCAAUUCAGAAUAUAAUGGUAAGAUAUUAGGAGACCGAUUCAGAAUAUAAUGGACACCAUUCCUUGGGCAUGGUGUAAGUAGAAGUCCCUGCUUUCUUUGUACAGAAUAUAAUGAACACAUAGGACAAUGUUAGGACACCAAUUCAGACCACAUAUAUACAAUUGCUUAAUGUCAUAUAUACACUUGACACCAUGGUCUUUAAGGCGACGCCUUAGCGCCUUA